CGAAAGCCUGACGGAGCAACGCCGCGUGUGGGAAGAAGGCUCUUGGGCUGUCAACCACUUUUCUCAGGGAAGAAGUUCUGACGGUACCUGAGGAAUCAGCCUCGGCUAACUCCGUGCCAGCAGCCGCGGUAAUACGGAGGAGGCAAGCGUUAUUCGGAAUUAUUGGGCGUAAAGCGUCCGCAGGGGGCGCAUCAAGUCUGCUGUUAAAGGCUGGAGCUUAACUCCGGUAGAGCAGUGGAAACUGGUGGGCUAGAGGGCGACAGGGGUAGAGGGAAUUCCCAGUGUAGCGGUGAAAUGCGUAGAGGUUGGGAAGAACACCGGUGGCGAAAGCGCUUUGCUGGACCGAACCUGACGCUGAGGGACGAAAGCUAAGGUAGCG
rnacentral:rRNA from 1 species